rnacentral:snRNA from 1 species
GUAAUCAGUGGCAGGGGAGAGACCAAGAUUAUGAUGGUGGUUUUGCCAGGGUGAGGCUUGUACUUUGGAUGUGCUGACGCCUCAACUGUUUUCCCAAAUGUGGGAAACUCAGCUGCAUAAUUUGUGGUAGCAGAAACUGUUGUGUGCACUUUCCU